GAUGAACGCUGGCGGCGUGCCUAAUACAUGCAAGUCGAGCGAACAGACGAGGAGCUUGCUCCUCUGACGUUAGCGGCGGACGGGUGAGUAACACGUGGAUAACCUACCUAUAAGACUGGGAUAACUUCGGGAAACCGGAGCUAAUACCGGAUAAUAUAUUGAACCGCAUGGUUCAAUAGUGAAAGACGGUUUUGCUGUCACUUAUAGAUGGAUCCGCGCCGCAUUAGCUAGUUGGUAAGGUAACGGCUUACCAAGGCAACGAUGCGUAGCCGACCUGAGAGGGUGAUCGGCCACACUGGAACUGAGACACGGUCCAGACUCCUACGGGAGGCAGCAGUAGGGAAUCUUCCGCAAAGGGCGAAAGCUUGACGGAGCAACGCCGCGUGAGUGAUGAAGGUCUUCGGAUCGUAAAACUCUGUUAUUAGGGAAGAACAAAUGUGUAAGUAACUAUGCACGUCUUGACGGUACCUAAUCAGUAAGCCACGGCUAACUACGUG
rnacentral:rRNA from 1 species